rnacentral:rRNA from 1 species
CCUACGGGAGGCAGCAGUGGGGAAUUUUGGACAAUGGGCGAAAGCCUGAUCCAGCAAUGCCGCGUGAGUGAAGAAGGCCUUCGGGUUGUAAAGCUCUUUUGUCAGGGAAGAAACGGUGAGGGCUAAUAUCUCUUGCUAAUGACGGUACCUGAAGAAUAAGCACCGGCUAACUACGUGCCAGCAGCCGCGGUAAUACGUAGGGUGCAAGCGUUAAUCGGAAUUACUGGGCGUAAAGCGUGCGCAGGCGGUUUUGUAAGUCUGUCGUGAAAUCCCCGGGCUCAACCUGGGAAUUGCGAUGGAGACUGCAAGGCUAGAAUCUGGCAGAGGGGGGUAGAAUUCCACGUGUAGCAGUGAAAUGCGUAGAGAUGUGGAGGAACACCGAUGGCGAAGGCAGCCCCCUGGGUCAAGAUUGACGCUCAUGCACGAAAGCGUGGGGAGCAAACAGGAUUAGAUACCCUGGUAGUCCACGCCCUAAACGAUGUCUACUAGUUGUACGGGUUUUAAUUAACUUGGUAACGCAGCUAACGCGUGAAGUAGACCGCCGUGGGGAGUACGGUCGCGAAGAUUAAAACUCAAAUGAAAUUGACG